rnacentral:rRNA from 1 species
UACGUAGGGCGCAAGCGUUAUCCGGAAUUAUUGGGCGUAAAGAGCUCGUAGGCGGUUUGUCGCGUCUGCCGUGAAAGUCCGGGGCUCAACUCCGGAUCUGCGGUGGGUACGGGCAGACUAGAGUGAUGUAGGGGAGACUGGAAUUCCUGGUGUAGCGGUGAAAUGCGCAGAUAUCAGGAGGAACACCGGAGUCGCGAAGGCGGAUCUCUGGGCCGUAACUGACGCUGAGGAGCGAAAGCAUGGGGAGCGAACAGG